CUCCAGCAGACCCUCCCUCCCAGACCCUCCUACUUCCUGGACAGCAUCCGGGUUGAAACAUGGAUGCUGUCCAGGAAGUAGGAGGGUCUGGGAGGGAGGGUCUGCUGGAG